rnacentral:rRNA from 1 species
ACGUACGCAACCUUCCCAAAACUGGUGAAUAGCCCUCCGAAAGGAGGAUUAAUACACCGUAACAUAAUGAGAUGGCAUCAUUUUAUUAUUAUAGCUCCGGCGGUUUUGGAUGGGCGUGCGCCUGAUUAGGUAGUUGGCGGGGUAACGGCCCACCAAGCCUGCGAUCAGUAACUGGUGUGAGAGCACGACCAGUCACACGGGCACUGAGACACGGGCCCGACUCCUACGGGAGGCAGCAGUAAGGAAUAUUGGUCAAUGGACGCAAGUCUGAACCAGCCAUGCCGCGUGAAGGAUGACGGCCCUCUGGGUUGUAAACUUCUUUUAUCUGGGACGAAAAAAGAUCAUUCUUGAUCACUUGACGGUACCAGAGGAAUAAGCACCGGCUAACCCCGUGCCAGCAGCCGCGGUAAUACGGAGGGUGCAAGCGUUAUCCGGAUUUACUGGGUUUAAAGGGUGCGUAGGUGGGCCUGUAAGUCAGUGGUGAAAUCUCCGAGCUUAACUCGGAAACUGCCAUUGAUACUAUAGGUCUUGAAUUAUCUGGAGGUAAGCGGAAUAUGUCAUGUAGCGGUGAUAUGCUUAAAUAUGAUAUAUAACACCUAUUGCGAAGGCAGCUUACUACGGAUUGAUU